AAGCUUGUGCUUUCAGGUCUUCUCUGGGAGUUAGUCCUACUUGCAGACCCCUGCCAUGUGGUUAUCUGACAAGUCUGGGCAUCACUGGGUCACUGCCUCAUGUUCUCCAUGUUCCUGACAGCCCAAUCCUGAAUUCGUUGAAAAGCAAACCCUGCUGUCCUUGGGAAGCCCAAGCAUUGGGGUUUCACUGAUGUCUCAACAAGCGGCAGGAGAUCUGAAGGAGCAAAACUCCCAUGGCAAAUGGAAGUGAAAGAAGACCGUGAAAAAAAUACUUGAAAAGUGAAAACUAGAACAAAACAACUACACAGCUAGCUAGAGUUGUGCAAAAUUGAAUAUGGAGUGGUAAGUUCACUGUCAGAGACAUAGUGAGGGACUGGAUCCCAGUAGGUGUCCCACCAAUGACCUUGCUGUGCCUUGUACAGCCCACUGUUGUUGUCCCCAAAACAUUUUUAACAGGAGUUGGAUGGGAAUGUAUUAUCUGAUAGGAACAAGGACACUUAAGAGAUUAGGCAUCUGGAGAACAAAAGACAACAUGUUCUGAGAAAGAGGGAACCCAAAACAGCCCCACAGAAAAAUAGGGCUGGUAUCCCCCGUGUCCAAGGUGGGUAGGCACUGGGCUGGGUGGACCAUCAUCUAGGUAGUAAAAAAGAAACCUGUGGCACAUAUUUGCAGAGAAAAACUCUAAUGCAUGAAAGUGUCUGAGUGAAGAGUGAUUGUGUACCUGAACUUCAGCUGGCCCAGAUCACACUACCAUGUGACGAGAAGAGCACAGAUCUGGUAUGGAUGAUAUUUGCAUCACAAUCUCACUUCCAGGGAACUCCACAGCUGCUGUCCCUGUCCCUCUCUCCAUAUGCAGUAGCUGUCUUUCCAUCCAACUCCAUCCUUUUGAAAACCUGUAAACUUAGUUCUGAAAUGUAUUUAUUUACAUCUCUCCAUUUACACAUCCCAGGAUAGUAUGAAGGCUUUUUUUCCCACCUUUACUGAGCUUACAGUACUUGCUACUUCAGGGGGCAUGCAACAACAGCUUACACCUAUUUUAUACAUCCUUGUGAAUGAUCUAACAUCAUUCAGCCUUUUAUCAGAUGAACUUCCAAUUUUCUCUUAACAUAAGUGAAAGAUUUUUGUGUUAGUAUUGGAGUAGUCUCACAUAAAAUAAAAUUCAGGUUUGACUUUUUUUCUGAACCUCUAAGAGACAGAUAUUCUGGAAGCAUGAAUAAGAAAGUCAAACUCACACAUGACAACAAUUAUAGUAACAGAAUCAUAGAUACACAAAAAGCACACGAGUAAACAAACAUAGAACAAAGAGGUAAGUACGUGCACAGAAAUUACCUGGUUUUAUGAGCAGGUAAUCUGGCUUUAUGGUGACUAAUGCAAAUUAAAAAUUCUCUAACCCCAUAGUACAAAAGUGUCCAUCUGUACAAAGCGGCUUACUGUUCUUUGAUAGGGUAACUUUAUGUCAACAGAAUUUUUGCCAGAUCAGAUGCUUUCAGUCUGUUCUGGUAUAUGGGAGACCUUUAGCUAAUCACAGAUAUUUUUGUUGUUUCUUGCCCUAUUUCUACUUCCAGUGUUGCAACAUCACAGACUGUUGAUGUCACUAUAUACUUAGUAAGUAGAUCUUUGAAAUAAGCAGCCAACCCCAUGAAGGAGACAGCAAAUGAAAGCAGAUCUUCCUUUCAAUAAUUCACACUUCUGAACCUAUUUUGAGCUUACUCCUAAUUUUUGAGCAGUUCAGUUACCAUUGAAAAUUGGAAGUGGAUAUUUGUGUGUUAUAUCUCAGUCUAGGUACUUACCAGUCAUGGACUUUUCUUUGCCUCCUGUUAAGACACCCCACCUUUGGCCACUGAGCAGCUCAGCUCACCCACGCCAAAUAGCUGCACAGAAUCACUGAUAAAUCUGAUUCCAGUCCAGGUCAGAGCUAGCCACAAAAGACAUAAUGUGUUUGGUGCCUGAGAACCUAAAGCUCUGAUUACCAUCAUACUCGUGUUCCAGGCAAAGGUAUUCAAGUUGCAUAGAGUCCAUAAUAUGGAGUGGUCUCCAUUCAGGAGAGCAUCAUAGGAAUUUAAGAAAUUUUGUAAUCUACUAUCCAUCUCUGAAAAGGCAUUAAUCUGAGCACCUUACAAACCCCAAGCAGGACAAAGCCUCUAUAAAAAGAUCAAGAACCAUAAUGGAUGCUCCGUGGCAAUUGAGAUGUCCUACCCUAGAAUACUAACAUCUUGUUGGAAACCUAUUUCGGCAUAUUGAUGCCACCCCUGAAUAUUGUAGGUUCAGUCUAGGGAAGUUUUUGCCAAUUGGCUCUCAGAAGGGGACACCUGCUAAACCAAGAAAGGAGGCAGGGAGGAAGGGCAAGGAAUGGUUCUUUGCAGUAAAUUUCUUCGAGGUCCAAAAACU